CCUACGGGUGGCAGCAGUGAGGAAUAUUGGUCAAUGGACGAGAGUCUGAACCAGCCAAGUAGCGUGAAGGAUGACUGCCCUAUGGGUUGUAAACUUCUUUUAUAUGGAAAUAAAAUGUUCCACGUGUGGGAUUUUGUAUGUACCAUAUGAAUAAGGAUCGGCUAACUCCGUGCCAGCAGCCGCGGUAAUACGGAGGAUCCGAGCGUUAUCCGGAUUUAUUGGGUUUAAAGGGAGCGUAGGUGGAUUGUUAAGUCAGUUGUGAAAGUUUGCGGCUCAACCGUAAAAUUGCAGUUGAAACUGGCAGUCUUGAGUACAGUAGAGGUGGGCGGAAUUCGUGGUGUAGCGGUGAAAUGCUUAGAUAUCACGAAGAACUCCGAGUGCGAAGGCAGUUCACUGGACUGCAACUGACACUGAGGCUCGAAAGUGUGGGUAUCAAACAGGAUUAGAUACCCCAGUAGUC
rnacentral:rRNA from 1 species